UACGUAGGGUGCAAGCGUUGUCCGGAAUUAUUGGGCGUAAAGAGCUCGUAGGCGGCCUGUUGCGUCCGCUGUGAAAUCCCGGGGCUCAACCCCGGGCCUGCAGUGGAUACGGGCUGGCUAGAGGCAGGCAGGGGAGAACGGAAUUCCUGGUGUAGCGGUGAAAUGCGCAGAUAUCAGGAGGAACACCGGUGGCGAAGGCGGUUCUCUGGGCAGUAACUGACGCUGAGGAGCGAAAGCGUGGGGAGCGAACAGG
rnacentral:rRNA from 1 species